CUACGGGCGGCAGCAGUGGGGAAUAUUGGACAAUGGGCGAAAGCCUGAUCCAGCCAUGCCGCGUGUGUGAAGAAGGCCUUCGGGUUGUAAAGCACUUUCAGUGGGGAAGAAAGCCUUGGGGCUAAUACCCUCGAGGAAGGACAUCACCCACAGAAGAAGCACCGGCUAACUCCGUGCCAGCAGCCGCGGUAAUACGGAGGGUGCGAGCGUUAAUCGGAAUUACUGGGCGUAAAGCGCGCGUAGGCGGUCUGAUAAGCCGGUUGUGAAAGCCCCGGGAUCAACCUGGGAACGGCAUCCGGAACUGUCAGGCUAGAGUGCAGGAGAGGAAGGUAGAAUUCCCGGUGUAGCGGUGAAAUGCGUAGAGAUCGGGAGGAAUACCAGUGGCGAAGGCGGCCUUCUGGACUGACACUGACGCUGAGGUGCGAAAGCGUGGGUAGCAAACAGGAUUAGAUACCCGAGUAGUC
rnacentral:rRNA from 1 species